AACAGACCUUACUGGAAAAUGACAGAAAAUUCCCGUUUAACCCUUUAGGGGUAAAACUAAUACUGUAACUGAUGUGAGUGAAACUUUUAAUCUCAACACUUUCCAGUUCAUCAUGUAUGUCUUUCCAAAAAAACUUUUAAAGAAAGCAGUGGCGGCUGGUGCUAAAAGAUUUUUGGGGGGGCGCAAACAUACUCAAAAUCAAACCUUUACUGUAGUAAUGCAGGGCUGGAAAUAGCCGUUUAUCCGGUGAUGAAUUUCAUUACUGCUUAGCUAAUGCUAAAAAAAGGUACUGUUGAAGUAUAGCUCAACUGGUAGAGCCUAUGUUAUAGUAGUAGUAUUAGUAAACUUGAUCAACUGAAUGUAGUUGAAAGUCUCAGUGAUUGACUAACAGCUGAUGUUUGUAUCAAAAGGUCCAUCAGCCACUACAGAUCAUUUCAGGAGCGUACAGUAAGGCCGAGAAAUCCAACCAUGACCGCUUGAAGAUGAACUACAAGAGCAUCUUCCCGGGAGUUCAUCUCUAUGUGAACAAUUUGCCCUACAGCUGGACAGAUCAGGAGCUUCAUAGAGUCUUCCCCACUUUGGGACCAUCACCAAUGCUAAGGUGGUGAGGAACGGCAGCCGCAGCCGAGGGUUCGGCUUUGUGUGUUUAAUUUUUUUAUAUGUGGUGUCCCUCUACCUGAAUGAAUAUAAAAAAUUACUUUUUUAUGA